rnacentral:lncRNA from 1 species
CAUGGGACAAACCCUGCGAGUGCUGCUAUGUGCGGGAUGAAAAUUAUCACGGUUGGAACUGAUGCUAAGGGAAAUAUCAACAUCGAGGAGUUAAAAAAAGCUGCUGAAGCCAACAAAGACAACUUAGCCGCCCUCAUGGUUACAUACCCUUCAACUCAUGGAGUCUAUGAAGAGGGUAUUGAUGAGAUUUGCAACAUAAUACACGACAACGGUGGUCAAGUGUACAUGGAUGGUGCCAACAUGAAUGCACAGGUGAAAUAUCUAAAUAUAACAGCAAACAUAGAUUUCAGGGUUUGUCGAAUUUAUAAGAGCAUGGUGUUGGGUUCGUGUAGGUUGGUCUGACGAGCCCCGGUUUUAUUGGAGCGGACGUGUGCCAUCUCAAUCUCCACAAGACCUUCUGUAUUCCUCAUGGAGGUGGUGGUCCUGGUAUGGGUCCUAUUGGUGUGAAGCAACAUUUGGCACCAUUUCUUCCUUCUCACCCUGUGGUUAGUCUUUUGAUCCUUCAUCACUUUUUUAAAGUUUCUUGGUGACUGGUGAUGAAAUUUCUUUUCUCUAUGUUUUCUCCAUUGCCAUGUAUAAAGAUACCUACUGGUGGUAUACCACAACCCGAGAAGACAACUCCUUUGGGUACGAUUGCCGCUGCACCAUGGGGAUCUGCACUUAUCUUGCCGAUAUCGUACACUUACAUUGCCAUGAUGGGAUCUGGUGGACUCACUGAUGCCUCAAAGAUUGCAAUUUUGAACGCCAAUU